NNNNNNNNNNNNNNNNNNNNNNNNNCCAAUUUUGGGGUCCCCCCCCUUAUUUUGGGGUUUGCCCUCUCUGAUUUUGGGGGUCCCCCCGAAUUUUGGGGUCCCAAUUUUUGGGUUCCCUCGAAUUUUGGGGUCUCAAUUUUUGGGGUGCCAAUUUUUGGGUUCCCCCAAAUUUUGGGGUUCCAAUUUUUGGGAUCCCCCCAUAUUUUGGGGUCCCAUUUUUUGGGAUCCCCCGAAUUUUUGGGGUCCCAAUUUUUGGGAUCCCCCGAAUUUUGGGGUCCCAAUUUUUGGGCUCCCCCGAAUUUUGGGGUCUCAAUUUUUGGGAUCCCCCCAUAUUUUGGGGUCUCAAUUUUUGGGAUCCCCCGAAUUUUUGGGGUUCCAAUUUUUGGGAUCCCCCCAUAUUUUGGGGUCCCAAUUUUUGGGUUUCCCCGAAUUUUUUGGGGUGCCAAUUUUUGGGAUCCCCCCAUAUUUUGGGGUCCCAAUUUUUGUGGAUCCCCGAAUUUUGGAGUCCCAAUUUUUGGGUUCCCCCGAAUUUUUUGGGGUCCCAUUUUUUGGGAUCCCCCCAUAUUUUGGGGUCUCAAUUUUUGGGCUCCCCCGAAUUUUGGGGUCUCAAUUUUUGGGAUCCCCCCAUAUUUUGGGGUCCCAUUUUUUGGGAUCCCCCAAAUUUUGGGGUCCCAAUUUCUGGGCUCCCCUGAAUUUUGGGGUCUCAAUUUUUGGGAUCCCCCGAAUUUUGGGGUCCCAAUUUUUGGGCUCCCCCGAAUUUUGGCGUCUCAAUUUUUGGGAUCCCCGAAUUUUUGGGGUCCCAAUUUUUGGGAUCCCCGAAUUUUUGGGGUCCCAUUUUUUGGGAUCCCCCGAAUUUUGGGGUCCCAAUUUUUGGGCUCCCCCGAAUUUUGGGGUCUCAAUUUUUGGGAUCCCCCCAUUUUUGGGGGUCUCACUUUUUGGUUUGGGGGGGGGGUUCAAUUUUGGGGUCACCCCCCAAAUGUUGGGGUCCCAAUUUGGGUUCCCGACCACCAAAUUUUGGGGGUCGCCCCCUAAUUUUAGGAUCCCGGUCAAAUUUUGGGGUCCCCCCUCCUCAAAUUUUGGGGUUCCCUCCCAGUUUUAGGUCCCCCCCAAAUUUUGGGAUUCCCCCAAAUUUUGGGGUCCCCCUUCAGUUUGGAGAUCUCAAUUUUAGGGUCACCACCCGAAAAUUUUGGGGUCUGAAUUUUGGGGGUCCCCCUUCCCAAUUUCUGGGAUCCGCCCCCCAAAUUUUGGGGUCCCUCUCCGAAUUUUGAGGGUCUCAAUUUUGGGGUCCCAAUUUUGGGGUCCAGCCCCAA
rnacentral:lncRNA from 1 species